rnacentral:rRNA from 1 species
GACAGAGGUGCCAAGCGUUAGGCGGAAUCACUGGGCUUAAAGCGUGUGUAGGCGGGGGCCUAAGUACCUCGUGAAAUCCCACGGCUCAACCGUGGAACUGCUCGGUAUACUGCUCGUCUUGAGCCAACUAGGGGCGACCGGAACAAACGGUGGAGCGGUGAAAUGCGUAGAUAUCGUUUGGAACGCCGAUGGUGAAAACAGGUCGCUGGGGUUGUGCUGACGCUGAGACACGAAAGCCAGGGGAGCGAACGGG